rnacentral:rRNA from 1 species
UUGAGAGUUUGAUCCUGGCUCAGAACGAACGCUGGCGGCAGGCCUAACACAUGCAAGUCGAACGCUCUCUUCGGAGGGAGUGGCGCACGGGUGAGUAACGCGUGGGAACCUGCCCUGGGGCCGGGAAUAACCGCUGGAAACGGCGGCUAAUACCCUAUACGCCCUUUGGGGGAAAGAUUUAUCGCCCUGGGAUGGGCCCGCGUCGGAUUAGGUAGUUGGUGUGGUAAGAGCGCACCAAGCCUGCGAUCCGUAGCUGGUCUGAGAGGAUGAUCAGCCACACUGGGACUGAGACACGGCCCAGACUCCUACGGGAGGCAGCAGUGGGGAAUAUUGGACAAUGGGGGCAACCCUGAUCCAGCCAUGCCGCGUGGGUGAAGAAGGCCCUAGGGUUGUAAAGUCCUUUCGAUGGUGAAGAUAAUGACGGUAACCAUACAAGAAGCCCCGGCUAAUUUCGUGCCAGCAGCCGCGGUAAUACGAAAGGGGCUAGCGUUGUUCGGA